rnacentral:rRNA from 1 species
GAUGAACGCUGGCGGCGUGCUUAACAUAUGCAAGUCGAACGGUGAAGCAGGAGCUUGCUCCUGUGGAUCAGUGGCGAACGGGUGAGUAACACGUGAGCAAUCUGCCCUGGACUCUGGGAUAAGCGUUGGAAACGACGUCUAAUACCGGAUACGAGGCGUGGGGGCAUCCCCAACGCCUGGAAAGAACUUCGGUCCAGGAUGAGCUCGCGGCCUAUCAGGUAGUUGGUGAGGUAACGGCUCACCAAGCCUACGACGGGUAGCCGGCCUGAGAGGGUGACCGGCCACCAUGGGACUGAGACACGGCCCAGAAUCCUACGGGAGGCAGCAGUGGGGAAUAUUGCACAAUGGGCGCAAGCCUGAUGCAGCAACGCCGCGUGAGGGACGACGGCCUUCGGGUUGUAAACCUCUUUUAGCAGGGAAGAAGCGAAAGUGACGGUACCUGCAGAAAAAGCACCGGCUAACUACGUGCCAGCCGCCGCCGUAACAC